rnacentral:lncRNA from 1 species
CAAGUUUGAAGAUUUUUUCUUCUAUUUAUUCAGUCUACUAACAGGGUCUUGAUGUAUAGUUGAGGCAAGCCUUGAACUCACUACGUAGUCCAGACUCUAAGCCACAGAGAUCCUCCUGCAUCAGCCUCCCAGUGCUGGGAUUCUAGUUUCUCCAGUCUUGCAGAGCAAACUCUCACAAGCAAGUCUGCAGCAAGCUUCCAGGCCUUCCACCAUGGACUGGUGCAGCACUCUUGAUCCUUCUUGUUCUGUGGCUUCCAUCUUCUUGGGCUGAGCAGCUUAUGGGCUCACCCAGCUCUUCAGAAUGCAGAGGGCCAUUGUGGAUUCUUCUGCCUGUGAUCCUGUGGAUAGCUAUUGUGGACUCUCCUGUUUCUCAUCCUCUCUGAAAUUGUGCUGAAAAACCAGCAACCCAGCAGCCAAUGGCUUGGAAAUGGUCAAAAGAGCCAUUGCAACUAUUGGAGCAGUCUG